GUGACACUCUGUCUCCAAAAGCUUUUGUAAUAAACGGAAUAAACGGUACGGUAAUUGACCUGACUCCUGGUGUGUUAUUCUCCUUUCCAACAAAUCAACUUGGGGAAGUGUUAGACUUCAACAAUUUUGGGGGCUUCGUCCGGGAUUGGGUAAAGGAGAAGGAAUUCGAUCCGGUCCAGCUAACCUACACAGGAUUCACAGGUUCCAGCGCCGGCACAUCAAAAAGAAGAAGAAUCAGAAUUGGAGGAUUCGGAGGAAUCUGACUAGUCUGAGUCAGAUGAUGACUCUGACUCCUUGACGGUUGUGUGCCUUCAGCUUCCACAAUUCCACUUCAGCUUUUGAUUUAGCCAAUACUGCAUGGAAGGUGGGUGCUGCUGCAGCCUGUGUACCUGCAUAUAUAUUUUAUAUAGUCAAAUGUUGUGACCUCAACCAGGCUGUUUUUUAAACCAUUGAUGUUCCACUGAGAGGGUAAUCGUCAUGACAUUGCCACAAUCCAAAGUAAGAAGCUUAUACACAUAUACAGUAUCUCACAAAAGUGAGUACACCCCUCACAUUUUUGUAAAUAUUUGAGUAUAUCUUUUCAUGUGACAAAACUAAAGAAAUGACACUUUGCUACCAUGUAAAGUAGUGAGUGUACAGCUUGUAUAACAGUGUAAAUGUGUUGUCCCCUCAAAAUAACUCAACAUAAAGCCAUUAAUGUCUAAACUGCUGGCAACAAAAGUGAGUACACCCCUAAGUGAAAAUGUCCAAAUUGGGCCCAAUGAGCCAUUUUCCCUCCCUGUGGUCAUGUGACUCAUUAGUGUUACAAGGUCUCAGGUGUGAAUGAGGAGCAGGUGUGUUCAAUUUGGUGUUAUUGCCCUCACACUCCCGGGUCACUGGAAGUUCCACAUGGCACCUCAAUGCAAAAACCUAAUUGUUGCUCUACAUAAAGAUGGUCUAGGCUAUAAAAAGAUUGCCAAGACCCUGAAACUGAGCUGCAGCACGGUGGCCAAUACCAUACAGCAGUUUAACAGGACAGGUUCCACUCAGAACAGGCCUCGCCAUGGUCGACCAAAAAAGUUCAGCGUCAUAUCCAGAGGUUGUCUUUGUGAAAUAAACGUAUAAGUGCUGCCAGCAUUGCUGCAGAGGCCAUCUUGUCACUUCCGGCAUCACCGGUGGCCAUCUUGUCACAGGCAGGCUUCCUGGUGGGCUCUGUGGUACCUAAUAUAAGGUGAGUGAUCAGCACUAACACAAAUACUCUUAUCUCGCUGAAACCUUGACAGAUUUACAAACGGUUUGGUUUCUUACAAACGUUAUUAACGUGGCUAAAAUUCUGAAUGCUUGAAAAUGUUGAAAUUGCAGCUUUUCUUUUCUAGAAACGUCUAAAUCGUGCAGCAUAGUUGGAUCACGGCUACUUGCGCAAGUUAUCAAGAAAGAUAUCACAAACGAGCUGUUCGAUUAUAGAGGUUUUACUGACACCAAUAACGGUUUUAUGACAACUAAUCUUUUGUCUAAAUUACAAUAUUUGUGGAUGUGGUUGUAGUUCUUUGCUGGCUAAUAACAAUAAGCUUUGAGUGAGACCUAUGGCAGCUAACGUUACAGUUUAGCUGCUAACCAGCAAAGUUGCACAUGCUUUUCAAUCCGGUUGGUUCCUGUGUUGCUUGAAGGACAGCAAUAUGUCCUGACCUACAGGUUCAGCCAGGACCACUUGGAGCUUCUCUUCAACUCCAUCAGAGUAUCUGCAGGAGGAGAAGAUCUUCCAUCCCCGUUUGCUGACAUUCCUGCCCUUGUACAUGAUCACAGCUACCUUCCCGUCCACUUCGAUGGUCUUGUGGACAACGUUCUCAUGUACAUUUCAGGCUCUGAAGAAGCUGUCGUGUGAUGUCUGCCAUGCCAGCCUGGUGACAUGCUGCAUCUGCCAUCAAGGACCUGCUGAAUUAAAAAAACAAUGGAGGUGAUUCCAUCAGAGGGAACCGUGAGUGUCGUCAGGGCAGCAGAGUGGGUCGUUCGGCAGUCAUCAGGCAGUACCAGACGAUCACAGCCUAUCAAACUGCUUGAGGAUGUUUACAUUGUCUGAAAAAGGAUCGGUUCAGAGGAUGUGUUUGUGUUGGGAUAGACAGUAUGGGAUAGACAUCCACCACCAUAGGCUGUUAAAAAUAAUUCUGUCCCUGUUUUUUAAGUUAAGGCUGCACCACAUCGCCAGAAUUACAAUCCUCAGCUUACAGAGCAACAACAUGCAACAGAAACUUAAUUAAACUGUCCUUUUCAAAGGGCAUUAGCCCAAGGUAUGUGUUUUCAAGGUACAGGUACCUCCAAAUCCGAGGCCAUGGUCCUCAGUCGGAAAAGGGUGGCUUGCCCGCUUCAGGUUGGUGGAGAGUGCCUGCCUCAAGUGGAGGAGUUUAAGUAUCUAGGGGUCUUGUUCACGAGUGAGGGAAGGAUGGAACGGGAGAUUGACAGACGGAUCGGUGCAGCUUCUGCAGUAAUGCGGUCGAUGUAUCGGUCUGUCGUGGUGAAGAAAGAG
ensembl:lncRNA